AUUGAACGCUGGCGGCAUGCUUUACACAUGCAAGUCGAACGGUAACAGGCCGCAAGGUGCUGACGAGUGGCGAACGGGUGAGUAAUGCAUCGGAACGUGCCCAGUCGUGGGGGAUAACGCAGCGAAAGCUGUGCUAAUACCGCAUACGAUCUAUGGACGAAAGCGGGGGACCGUAAGGCCUCGCGCGAUUGGAGCGGCCGAUGUCAGAUUAGGUAGUUGGUGGGGUAAAGGCCUACCAAGCCGACGAUCUGUAGCUGGUCUGAGAGGACGACCAGCCACACUGGGACUGAGACACGGCCCAGACUCCUACGGGAGGCAGCAGUGGGGAAUUUUGGACAAUGGGCGCAAGCCUGAUCCAGCAAUGCCGCGUGCAGGAAGAAGGCCUUCGGGUUGUAAACUGCUUUUGUACGGAACGAAACGGUCUGGGUUAAUACCCCGGGCUAAUGACGGUACCGUAAGAAUAAGCACCGGCUAACUACGUGCCAGCCGCCGCGGUAA
rnacentral:rRNA from 1 species